AGAAAAUUUAAUAUGAAAGUGUUUUUAUUAUGAACUGGUCUGGAAAAAAGACGAUUAAAUGAGUAAUUGCAUGAGAUAAAGCAUCUGUUUUGCUGUUUAAGUAUAAGUGGAAUGUCAAAACAUUUAACAAUAUGUCAAUAUACUCAACUUUCCUAAUUUUCCAAAAAUGUAAGUGGUGCAUAUUCAUCCAGGUCAUUUCCGAGGAUGGAUUUGAGAAAUG